UUUCACAAUGGACACUAACGCAAGAUAGACUGAGGUAGCUGGAGCUGAAAUCUUUUGUUGAAUAGGGAUGACAGUUUGUCCAUAACCCAGGAAUCCCAGUCACAGCCCUGGAAGUUGACCAAGAAAUUAUCUAAAGGAGGAAGUGGGAACUUGUGUGCAGACAGGCAGAAAAGCCAUCAAUAGAAGAACGUCUACAAGAGCAGAUGAGCAAGAGCAGAGAUGCUGUGGGUUUCCAUGGAUACACAUACAGGCCCCCAGUCAAUCUACUGAAAACAGAGGAAAGGGAAGGGAAAAUCACACUGUAAACAGACACAAAUAUGGGGAUGUGACCACAUGCAUGUAAACAAGAAGCAGGUCUGGUGCCACGAGUGUGCUGCUGCUGGACAUGGGGGAGGGACCCAAGUCACUGUCAGGACAGGGAUAUGACAACCUCACGAAGGUGCUCUGCAAACAGCAUGUCUGAGGACUUGGGACAGAAAACCCGACUGAGGAGAGUAUGCAGGGCCUGGGCACCAGGUGACUGUAACUAGCAGGGGAAGGUCCUUUGCUCCACCCCUUAGCAUCGUUGUAAAUAGGCCUUUGGAAUAAAGCUCUGGGCCCGUGGAUAAGGAUCCAGGCCCACCCGA